CCUACGGGAGGCAGCAGUAGGGAAUAUUGGACAAUGGGCGCAAGCCUGAUCCAGCCAUCCCGCGUGCAGGAUGAAGGUCCUAUGGAUUGUAAACUGCUUUUAUCAGGGAAGAAACCUUGGGAUUCAUCCCAAGUUGACGGUACCUGAGGAAUAAGCACCGGCUAACUCCGUGCCAGCAGCCGCGGUAAUACGGAGGGUGCAAGCGUUAUCCGGAUUUACUGGGUUUAAAGGGUGCGUAGGUGGUCUUGUAAGUCAGCGGUGAAAGCUCGGAGCUCAACUCCGAAAUUGCCAUUGAUACUGCAAGGCUUGAGUACAGUUGAGGUAGGCGGAAUAUGUCAUGUAGCGGUGAAAUGCUUAGAUAUGACAUAGAACACCAAUUGCGAAGGCAGCUUGCUAAACUGAAACUGACACUGAGGCACGAAAGCGUGGGGAUCAAACAGGAUUAGAUACCCUGGUGGUCCACGCCCUAAACGAUGCUAACUCGAUUUUGGCGAUAUACAGUCAGAGUCCAAGGAACCGAUAAGUUAGCACCUGGGGAGUCGUCCGCAGAUGAAACUCAAAGGAAUUGACGGCGNGAGAGNGCGAGGACGACGACGAGGGAGAGG
rnacentral:rRNA from 1 species